AAAAUUCUAGAACCCAAAACAAAGGAAGUUCAACACAAUUGCCAGCUUCAUAGAAUAUCUUUUUGUGCAGAUGAUAAAACUGACAAGAGGAUAUUCACUUUCAUAUGCAAAGAUUCUGAGUCAAAUAAACAUUUGUGCUAUGUAUUUGACAGCGAAAAGUGUGCUGAAGAGAUCACUUUAACAAUUGGCCAAGCAUUUGACCUGGCAUACAGGAAAUUUCUAGAAUCAGGAGGAAAAGAUGUUGAAACAAGAAAACAGAUCGCAGGGUUACAAAAAAGAAUCCAAGACUUAGAAACAGAAAAUAUGGAACUUAAAAAUAAAGUACAAGAUUUGGAAAACCAACUGAGAAUAACUCAAGUAUCAACACCUCCAGCAGGCAGUAUGACACCUAAGUCGCCCUCCACUGACAUCUUUGAUAUGAUUCCAUUUUCUCCAAUAUCACACCAGUCUUCGAUGCCUACUCGCAAUGGCACACAGCCACCUCCAGUACCUAGUAGAUCUACUGAGAUUAAGCGGGACCUGUUUGGAGCAGAACCUUUUGACCCAUUUAACUGUGGAGCAGCAGAUUUCCCUCCAGAUAUUCAAUCAAAAUUAGAUGAGAUGCAGUUUAUGUAUGGUAGAAUCCAGACAGACACCAAUUAUAUGAAGCUGAUUGAG
rnacentral:sRNA from 1 species